UACGGUUAAAGUAGUAAGGGCGCAGGGUGGAUGCCUUGGCACUAAGAGCCGAUGAAAGACGUGAUAAGCUGCGAAAAGCUUCGGGGAGGAGCACAUAUCCAAUGAUCCGGAGAUAUCUGAAUGGGGAAACCCGGCAGAGGAAACCUCUGUCAGCGUGCAGUGAAUACAUAGCUGUACGUGGGGAACCCGGGGAACUGAAACAUCUAAGUACCCGGAGGAAGAGAAAGAAAAUUUAUCGAUUUCCAAAGUAGCGGCGAGCGAAAUGGAAAGAGCCCAAACCGUGAUGCGUGCAUCGCGGGGUUCGGACUGCGUUGUGGCAGACGUAAGAUAGGAGAACGGACUGGGAAGUCCGGCCGGAGAGAGUGAAAGCCUCGUAUCCGAAAUCCCAAGUCGCCUAGCAGGAUCCAGAGUAGGACGAGACACGAGAAACCUUGUCUGAAUGAGCGGGGACCACCCCGUAAGGCUAAAUACUUCUUAGUGACCGAUAGCGCAUAGUACUGUGAAGGAAAGGUGAAAAGUACCCCGGGAGGGGAGUGAAAGAGAACCUGAAACCCUGUGUCUACAAGCUGUGGGACCUCUUUAUAUGAGGGACUGCGUACUUUUUGUAGAACGGUCCGGCGAGUUGUGCGUACUGGCGAGGUUAAGGACUUAAGGUCUGGAGCCGAAGUGAAAGCAAGCGUUAAUAGCGCGUCAAGUCAGUGAGUGCAGACCCGAAACCGGGUGACCUAUCCAUGUCCAGGUUGAAGCUUCCGUAAGAGGAAGUGGAGGACCGAACCCACAUCCGUUGAAAAGGGUGGGGAUGAGGUGUGGAUAGCGGAGAAAUUCCAAUCGAACCCGGAGAUAGCUGGUUCUCCUCGAAAUAGCUUUAGGGCUAGCCUCAUGAGAGUCUUAUGGAGGUAGAGCACUGAAUUGCCUAGGGGGCGUCAAAGCUUACCAAAGCAUAUCAAACUCCGAAUGCCAUCAAGAUGAUUCAUGGGAGUCAGACCAUACGAGAUAAGUUGGAUGGUCAAAAGGGAAAGAGCCCAGACCUACAGCUAAGGUCCCAAAGUACGUGUUAAGUGGAAAAGGAUGUGGGGAUUCUAAGACAACUAGGACGUUGGCUUAGAAGCAGCCAUUCAUUGAAAGAGUGCGUAAUAGCUCACUAGUCGAGAGUCCCUGCGCCGAAAAUGUCCGGGGCUGAAACACGACACCGAAGCUUAGGAAUGUGUAAACAUUGGUAGAGGAGCAUUGCUAGCGGGAUGAAGCCAUACCGUAAGGAGUGGUGGACUGCUAGGAAGAGAGAAUGCCGGAAUGAGUAGCGAGAUGAAGGUGAGAAUCCUUCAGGCCGAAUAUCUAAGGUUUCCAGAGUAAAGCUGAUCUGCUCUGGGUAAGUCGGGACCUAAGGCGAGGUCGAAAGACGUAGUCGAUGGAUAACAGGUUGAAAUUCCUGUACCGCAUAUAAACAGAACUGUGGGGACACAGACAGGGAAUGGAAUCCGGGAAUGGAUAUCCCGGUGCAAGCGAGGUAGGAGUGCUGUUGGCAAAUCCGCAGCACGAUCUGAAGACGUGACGCGUACCGAACAUAAGUAGGGAAGUCCAGGCCCCUGGCUGUCAAGAAAAGCCGCUAUUGUUUUAUAUGUGCCCGUACCGCAAACCGACACAGGUGGAUGAGGAGAGAAUCCUAAGGCCGACGGGAGAAGUAUUGUUAAGGAACUCGGCAAAAUGACUCCGUAACUUCGGGAGAAGGAGUGCCAUGAGAGUGGCCGCAGAGAAAUGGCCCAAGCAACUGUUUAGCAAAAACACAGGUCUAUGCAAAACCGCAAGGUGAAGUAUAUGGGCUGACGCCUGCCCGGUGCUGGAAGGUUAAGGGGAGAGGUUAGCGCAAGCGAAGCUUUGAACUUAAGCCCCAGUAAACGGCGGCCGUAACUAUAACGGUCCUAAGGUAGCGAAAUUCCUUGUCGGGUAAGUUCCGACCCGCACGAAAGGCGUAAUGAUUUGGGCACUGUCUCAACGAUACACCCGGUGAAAUUGAAAUACCAGUGAAGAUGCUGGUUACCUGCGCCAGGACGGAAAGACCCCAUGGAGCUUUACUCCAGUUUGAUACUGGGAUUCGGCAUGGUAUGUACAGGAUAGGUGGGAGACUGAGAAGGUAUGACGUCAGUUGUACCGGAGUCGCUGUUGGGAUACCACCCUUACCAUGUUGGAUUUCUAACCUGUGGCCGUAAGCCGGUCAGGGGACAAUGUCAGGCGGGGAGUUUGACUGGGGCGGUCGCCUCCGAAAGGGUAUCGGAGGCGCUCAAAGGUUCCCUCAGAAUGGUUGGAAACCAUUCGAAGAGUGCAAAGGCAGAAGGGAGCUUGACUGUGACACCGACGGGUGGAGCAGGUACGAAAGUAGGACUUAGUGAUCCGGUGGUAUAAAGUGGGAUUGCCAUCGCUCAACGGAUAAAAGCUACCCUGGGGAUAACAGGCUUAUCACUCCCAAGAGUUCACAUCGACGGAGUGGUUUGGCACCUCGAUGUCGGCUCAUCGCAUCCUGGAGCUGUAGCAGGUUCCAAGGGUUGGGCUGUUCGCCCAUUAAAGCGGUACGCGAGCUGGGUUCAGAACGUCGUGAGACAGUUCGGUCCCUAUCCGGCGCAGGCGGAGGAAAUUUGAUAGGAGCUGUCCUUAGUACGAGAGGACCGGGAUGGACGGACCGCUGGUGUAUCUGUUGUACUGCCAAGUGCAUAGCAGAGUAGCCAAGUCUGGAAGGGAUAAACGCUGAAGGCAUCUAAGCGUGAAGCCCCCCUAAAGAUAAGAUUUCCCAUACCAUAAGGUAGUAAGACCCCUUGAAGACGACGAGGUAGAUAGGGCAGAGGUGGAAGUACGGUAACGUAUGGAGCUGACUGUUACUAAUCGGUCGAGGCUUUAACCAAA
rnacentral:rRNA from 1 species